UACAUGUGGGGCAAGCGUUGUUCGGAAUUACUGGGCGUAAAGCGUGCGCAGGCGGUUUUGUAAGUCUGUCGUGAAAUCCCCGGGCUCAACCUGGGAAUGGCGAUGGAGACUGCAAGGCUAGAGUUUGGCAGAGGGGGGUAGAAUUCCACGUGUAGCAGUGAAAUGCGUAGAUAUGUGGAGGAACACCGAUGGCGAAGGCAGCCCCCUGGGUCAAAACUGACGCUCAUGCACGAAAGCGUGGGGAGCAAACAGG
rnacentral:rRNA from 1 species